rnacentral:rRNA from 1 species
GACGAACGCUGGCGGCGUGCUUAACACAUGCAAGUCGAACGGACAGGCCAUGCUUUUGCGGCGUUCUCGAUAGCCGAACGCGUGAGUAACACGUGAGUAUAAUGCCCUUAUAUUUCGGAUAAAUUUAGGGAACUGGGGAUAAUACCGGAUAGGAUAUCCUGCUGCGUGGUGGUCAUUGGAAAGAUACGGCGGUUGGGGAUCGUCUCGCGGCUUAUCCGCUUCUUGGUGGAGUAGUGGAUUACCAAGCCUUUGAAGGGUAGCCGGCCUUAGAGGGUUACCGGCCACAUUGGGACUGAGGGACGGCGCAGAAUCCUACGGGAGGCAGCAGUGGGGAGUAUGGCACAGUGGGGGGGAGCCUGAUGCAGCAACGCUGCGUGCGGGAUGACGUCCUUCGGGGGGUAAACCACUGUCUCCUUUGACGAAGCGUUAGUGACGGUAAUGGGUCAAGAAGCACCGGCUAACUACGUG